rnacentral:rRNA from 1 species
GAUGAACGCUGGCGGCGUGCCUAAUACAUGCAAGUCGAGCGAACAGACGAGGAGCUUGCUCCUCUGACGUUAGCGGCGGACGGGUGAGUAACACGUGGAUAACCUACCUAUAAGACUGGGAUAACUGCGGGAAACCGGAGCUAAUACCGGAUAAUAUAUUGAACCGCAUGGUUCAAUAGUGAAAGACGGUUUUGCUGUCACUUAUAGAUUGAUCCGCGCCGCAUUAGCUAGUUGGUAAGGUAACGGCUUACCAAGGCGACGAUGCGUAGCCGACCUGAGAGGGUGAUCGGCCACACUGGAACUGAGACACGGUCCAGACUCCUACGGGAGGCAGCAGUAGGGAAUCUUCCGCAAUGGGCGAAAGCCUGACGGAGCAACGCCGCGUGAGUGAUGAAGGUCUUCGGAUCGUAAAACUCUGUUAUUAGGGAAGAACAAAUGUGUAAGUAACUAUGCACGUCUUGACGGUACCUAAUCAGAAAGCCACGGCUAACUACGUG